rnacentral:rRNA from 1 species
GGAAUAUUGGUCAAUGGGCGCAAGCCUGAACCAGCCAUGCCGCGUGCAGGAUGACGCAUCUAUGGUGUGUAAACUGCUUUUGUACAGGAAGAAACAUCCCGACGAGUCGGGACUUGACGGUACUGUAAGAAUAAGGAUCGGCUAACUCCGUGCCAGCAGCCGCGGUAAUACGGAGGAUCCAAGCGUUAUCCGGAAUCAUUGGGUUUAAAGGGUCCGUAGGCGGCUUAAUAAGUCAGCGGUGAAAGUUUUUGGCUUAACCAAAAAAUUGCCAUUGAUACUGUUAGGCUUGAAUUUUUGUGAAGUAACUAGAAUAUGUAGUGUAGCGGUGAAAUGCUUAGAUAUUACAUGGAAUACCAAUUGCGAAGGCAGGUUACUAACAAACGAUUGACGCUGGUGGACGAAAGCGUGGGUAGCGAACAGGAUUAGAUACCCGAG